GGCGGCGUAGCGUAGUGGACCAACGCGCCAAAACGCCCUCAGCCACAACUUGCCCAGCACCCUUGAGGUGAGGGCCGGAGGAUGAGGGUUACCGCUGUGGACGGGGAGAUCGAGGGUUCGAAUCCCUCCGCCGCCCCCA
rnacentral:tRNA from 1 species